rnacentral:rRNA from 1 species
GGAUCCAGACUUUGAUUAUGGCUCAGGAAUAAACGCUGGCGGCGCACAUAAGACAUGCAAGUCGAACGGAAGUCGUUGUAAUGAAAUAGAAACGGACAGAGAACUUGUUCGAAGAAAGUGGAAGUAGACUUACAACAAAGGCUUUAGUGGCGGACUGGUGAGUAACGCGUAAGGGAACCUGCCUUCUAGAGGGGAAUAACAAUGAGAAAUCAUUGCUAAUACCGCAUAUGCCGAGAGAAUCACAUGGUACAAUCGGGAAAAGAGUAAUCUGCUAGAAGAUGGCCUUGCGUCUGAUUAGAUAGUUGGUGGGGUAACGGCCUACCAAGUCGACGAUCAGUAGCCGGACUGAGAGGUUGAACGGCCACAUUGGGACUGAGAUACGGCCCAGACUCCUACGGGAGGCAGCAGUCGGGAAUAUUGCGCAAUGGAGGAAACUCUGACGCAGUGACGCCGCGUAUAGGAAGAAGGUUUUCGGAUUGUAAACUAUUGUCGUUAGGGAAGAGAAAGGACAGUACCUAAGGAGGAAGCUCCGGCUAACUACGUGCCAGCAGCCGCGGUAAUACGUAGGGAGCGAGCGUUAUCCGGAAUUAUUGGGUGUAAAGGGUGCGUAGACGGGAAGAUAAGUUAGUUGUGAAAUCCCUCGGCUUAACUGAGGAACUGCAACUAAAACUGUUUUUCUUGAGUGCAGGAGAGGUAAGUGGAAUUCCCAGUGUAGCGGUGAAAUGCGUAGAUAUUAGGAGGAACACCAGUGGCGAAGGCGACUUACUGGACUGUAACUGACGUUGAGGCACGAAAGUGGUGGGGGAGCAAACAGGAUUAGAUACCCUGGUAGUCCACCACCGUAAACGAUGGAUACUAGGUGUAGGAGG